GACGUAGGGGGCAAGCGUUGUCCGGAUUUAUUGGGCGUAAAGAGCGUGUAGGCGGCCAGGUAGGUCUGCUGUGAAAACUCGAGGCUCAACCUCGAGAUGUCGGCGGAAACCAUCUGGCUAGAGUCCGGAAGAGGAGAGUGGAAUUCCUGGUGUAGCGGUGAAAUGCGCAGAUAUCAGGAAGAACACCGAUGGCGAAGGCAGUUCUCUGGGACGGUACUGACGCUGAGACGCGAAAGCGUGGGGAGCGAACAGG
rnacentral:rRNA from 1 species